AUAAUACUCCAUAGAUUAGAGACACUGGAAUGUUCUGUAGUCGAAGGUUCUGGCGCCUUAGGAUGGAUCUGCGGUCGAUUAGGUUGUUGUUGGGGUAACGGCCCAACAAGCCUGUAAUCGAUACGGGUUGUGGGAGCAAGAGCCCGGAGAUGGAAUCUGAGACACGAUUCCAGGCCCUACGGGGCGCAGCAGGCGCGAAAACUUUACAAUGCAGGAAACUGUGAUAAGGGAACUCCGAGUGCCCGUAUACGCGGGCUGUCCAGGUGUUUAAAAAUCAUCUGAAGAAAGGGCCGGGCAAGACCGGUGCCAGCCGCCGCGGUAAUACCGGCGGCUCGAGUGGUGGCCACUAUUAUUGGGCUUAAAGCGUCCGUAGCUGGACCGAUAAGUCUCUUGGGAAAUCCGCCGGCUCAACCGGCGGGCGUCUAAGGGAUACUGUUAGUCUAGGGACCGGGAGAGGUGAGAGGUACUCCGGGGGUAGGAGUGAAAUCCUGUAAUCCCCGGGGGACCACCGAUGGCGAAGGCAUCUCACCAGAACGGCUCCGACAGUGAGGGACGAAAGCUGGGGGAGCGAACCGGAUUAGAUACCCGGGUAGUCCCAGCCGUAAACUAUGCGCGUUAGGUGU
rnacentral:rRNA from 1 species